CAAAAAAUCUGCAAAAGAAAGAAAAAUAUAAGAACAAUAGAAAGUGAACACAAGAUUUAGAAUUGAUCAGAAAGGACAAGUGCCACGCCCCAAACCCACCACUCGGGUCGACCAUAUGACACAGUCACAUAAUUAUUAAAGUAAAACUAGAGAUCAUGUAAGGCCUAAAAAGGUACAAUAUUCAUAAAAAUAUUAAAAAUUAUUAAUGUAUUUAAACCAAACCAACUAAAAUGUACUGAUUGAUUACACCAUUUCAAAUGUUCAUAAGUAAAAGAUAAAUUAACUUUUAACUAUCUAGCAGUCUGACUUCAGAUCAAUCUCACUUCUCGUCUCACCCGACGGAUUCUACAAAUCUAGUGCCUUUGAAAAAGAAAAUAAGUGUAGUAUGAGCUUUUCCAGCCCAGUAAGAACCCAACAGCCGCACCGGUAAUAAUAAGAAAACAAUCUAAGCAACAAAUAAGUGUUAUUUCAUCAUUCAAAAGGCUCAAUAAUCAACGAGUAUAUAUAUAAACCAUUACAUUUACAUAAAUACUUUUUUACACAUUAUAUUACUCACUUUCGUAUUAAUCUGAUUCCCAAAUUUUAAGUUUUUCACUUCUAGCUUUGGACUAACCAAAAUCAUGACCCAGUCCAAGACUGUACAAAUCCCACGCAUAAGCUCGUGGCAGCUAUCUCACGCAUAAGCCCGUGGAGGCUAUUCUACGCAUAAGCUCGUAGAGGCUAUCCCACGCGUAAGCCCGUGGAGGCUAUCCCACGCAUCAGCUCGUGGCAGCUAUCCUACGCAUAAGCUCGUAGAGGCUAUC
rnacentral:lncRNA from 1 species